rnacentral:rRNA from 1 species
CAGUCGCCGCGGGAAUACGUAGGGUGCGAGCGUUAAUCGGAAUUACUGGGCGUAAAGCGUGCGCAGGCGGUUGUGUAAGACAGGUGUGAAAUCCCCGGGCUUAACCUGGGAACUGCGCUCGUGACUGCACAGCUAGAGUAUGGCAGAGGGGGGUGGAAUUCCACGUGUAGCAGUGAAAUGCGUAGAGAUGUGGAGGAACACCGAUGGCGAAGGCAGCCCCCUGGGCCAAUACUGACGCUCAUGCACGAAAGCGUGGGGAGCAAACAGGAUUAGAUACCCGUGUAGUCCCUGUCUCAUAUAC